rnacentral:rRNA from 1 species
GACGAACGCUGGCGGCGUGCCUAAUACAUGCAAGCCGAACGCUUCUUUCCUCCCGAGUGCUUGCACUCAAUUGGAAAGAGGAGUGGCGGACGGGUGAGUAACACGUGGGUAACCUACCCAUCAGAGGGGGAUAACACUUGGAAACAGGUGCUAAUACCGCAUAACAGUUUAUGCCGCAUGGCAUAAGAGUGAAAGGCGCUUUCGGGUGUCGCUGAUGGAUGGACCCGCGGUGCAUUAGCUAGUUGGUGAGGUAACGGCUCACCAAGGCCACGAUGCAUAGCCGACCUGAGAGGGUGAUCGGCCACACUGGGACUGAGACACGGCCCAGACUCCUACGGGAGGCAGCAGUAGGGAAUCUUCGGCAAUGGACGAAAGUCUGACCGAGCAACGCCGCGUGAGUGAAGAAGGUUUUCGGAUCGUAAAACUCUGUUGUUAGAGAAGAACAAGGACGUUAGUAACUGAACGUCCCCUGACGGUAUCUAACCAGAAAGCCACGGCUAACUACGUG